rnacentral:tRNA from 1 species
GGAGAGGUGGCAGAGUGGUCGAAUGCGCACGCUUGGAAAGCGUGUGGGCGGGUAACCGUCCCCAGGGUUCGAAUCCCUGUCUCUCCGCCA